rnacentral:rRNA from 1 species
AUGGUUAAUGAUACCUGCAUGAUGUUGAAGAAUGAGGUCCAUCUUGAUGUAAGAGGAGUGUACCGAUAUGCAAGAGAUUUGUGGGGCUGCCAUGUUAUCCGCAUCGACACACUUGUAUUACUCAAUGCAUUUGCCUACGUAUUCCUCGCCACUUUUGGGCCCCAGCGCCGCCGCUCCAAAAACUGGUUCAUCCAAAAAGGUACCUUGGUCGCAAACACUCUGUCCUUCUUACUGGGAACAUACACCCUUGGUUCAAUGCAAUCUUCCAAGGUGAAGAGCGGCAUGUACCCCGUUUGGGCCGCAACUCUCUUCAUCCUUCACGUCUGUACCAACACAGCUUAUAGUCUUGAUGACAAUAAACACGUAACGAGGGUCCUGUACCGGUUGGUGUUCUACAAUGUAUAUGGGGGAUUGCUUUUGAUGACUGCAAUUGGAAAUGGAAGUUCUGCCCCCCUUGUUAUUAUUUUAUAUGCUGUUGGUCAAUAUAAAUUCAAGUAUAUACAAGCACCAUGUGUGCUGGCAAGCUGUUCAUGGAACCUGAAUAAAAUGGUUGCUGAUUACAUGUAUGACGAGCACACCAAGGGUGAAUUUGUUCCAACCACCAUGAAAGGUUGCCAUUACCUGGUUGACUGGCCCCUCGACAACCCCAAGUUGGGUGCUCCAUCGUAUGCAUCACGAUUUACAUCGGAUGGCAAUGAAGUCAUUGACAUAGAGAAGAUAUGGCUUUGUGAUGACAUUUCAGAAGAGAAUGAGCUAAAGGAUACAUGUCUUUCCUUCUCUCUUUUUCUUCUGCUGAGAAGGCGCUACUUUGGGUUUGCCUGUGGCGAAUCGAAAGAAAGGGCACAUGAUUUUGUCUUCAAGGGGCUGCUACGGGAGAAUGAGGAAGGUACCACAGACUGCAACCGGGCUUUUAGGCUGAUUGAGGUUGAGUUAGCAUUUAUGUAUGAUUUCUUUUUCACCACAUCUGCCGCCAUUUAUUAUGGAUCAAGGGCUGCAACAGUUGCAGCAUUGCUUUCAGUUUUCUUCCUCUCUCUUACAAUACUUUCGAUAGUCAGCUUGCAUCCAUCACCCAUACAUGAAGGUGACAUGGCGAUCAGCUUAUUCAUACUUGCAUCUGCUGCUUUGCUUGAAUUGCUUCAACUGCUACUUUACUGGACUAGCAUUUGGAGCAGAGUAUCCUUUGUCUGUCAGUAUCUCAGAGAACAAGCACGAUUGAACACAAGGGGAAGCUGCUGCUCCUGCUCCUCCUGGUGCCGCUGCCGCUGCGUGCUGCUAAGAUUGAAAGGGCUUCUUGCCAAAAUUGGUGUGCAUUGGACACCAAACAAACACUAUUGGCAGCACAAGCUUGGGCAGUACUCCUUACUUGAUUACCGUCCUAUGUUAUGUGACAAGUUCAAGGAUUAUUUGGGUAGAUUCACAAUAUCUUCAGAUCCCACACAUGCAUCGCCUAUCCUCCAUCCAAUAGACUAUCACACACGGAGGGUUCGUCAAAAACGUGGGAAAUCUACAGAGAUAACUGCAGAAGUACAGAAGGCACUUAUUUACUCCCUCAAACGUUCCAAUGGUGAACUAACGAAUGGAAAAUCAUCACUAGUGUCCAAUGGAGCAGGACACCUUUUAUGGGCUUGUGAACGGGCCGUGCACUCAGAAUCAGACACAAGCUGCAUUAUUCUGACUUGGCACAUUGCGACAUGGUACUGCGAGAGGGGAACUCUUGGAUGCAGCCCUUGCCCAGACGAGGAAACAGAACUCAAGGUCCAUCUUGGUGUUGCCACAAAACUGUCGAAAUACUGUGCAUACCUGCUGGUCUCUGCACCAAAACUUCUUCCAGGGCACGAAUAUGAUACGAGCUGUGUGUUUGACGAAGUUGCAGAGGAAGCUAGGAAAUUGCUGUCAUAUGUGAAUGUGAGGGAUAAGUAUCAAGCACUGAAGAACUACGGACUAGAAGAAUCAGAGGCUACCAUCUUCCAGAGUGGCGCUAAAUUGGGAAAGCAGCUAGAGGAGAUAGAAGAUGUUACCAGGCGUUGGAAGGUGCUAGCUGAUUUCUGGUCUGAGAUGCUGCUCUACAUCGCGCCAUCAGAUAAUGUCGACGAGCACAUCGAGCAGCUCACACGGGGCGGCGAGUUCAUCACCCACCUGUGGGCUCUGCUCUCACAUGCUGGCAUUCUACAGAGGGGUCAACCUAAUCUUAGCAAUAUACGUGCAGAAAAUAGUAAGGGUAGUUCUGCGAGACACCAAGAAAGUGAGCAAAAUUCAGCAAAUCUUGAAGAAAAUACUCAGGAUAAUUCUGCGAGAGCGAGACACCAAGAAGUUGUGCAAGAUUCAGUAGAUCCUGAAGAAGCUACUCCACUUGCUGAUCAUCCGGUGCAAAUUCACGACAAUCUGUUAUCGACUCGUCUUACCCUCCAAGUUCAUUCACAAGGUGUUGGGGCCAGACCGCUACAAAUACCUGAGCAAGAUAUAUCUACAGAAAAUGAAUGCCAUAUUGAUGUUCCUGAAGCUCCAAGCACCAUGCAGCAAGCUCUCCCUGAACAAAUAACUCGUCAAAGGGCCGUCGGAUCAGCUCAGUGA